rnacentral:scRNA from 1 species
GAACACGCGAGCGACCUGAAUCAUUUUUUCAC